AGGACAUCACAUUCACAAACAAACCACACUUUUAUAAAUAUACUGAGUCAUUUACAAACGUCUAUACCCAAAAGACUAGUUCUCAAAAAGAGGCUGUCCUAUUCGACCUACUCUUUAGGUCACCUCAACUCAGCUCCAAGUCCUCUCUCUAUGGCCCUGAAAAAUUUAAGUCCAUGACGGGGUGAGAUAUAAAUCUUAGCAAGUUCACAUUCUAAGCCCCGAUUAGGAGGGAAAUUCCCCUAGAAGUGUCAUAACCACACAACCACUCAAUUAGCACAGAGGACUUACCUCUCAUCAGUUCCUUCCUGCACGUCAGCACAAUUCAUAUCACAAUGCAUAUAAUCAACACACAUAACAAUUAGAAUACCUCACCAACUCAAUUAAUCACAAGGGUCUCGAUUAUAAGGCAAAACCGUUAUGACACGUCCCAUACCAUGCCACACAGUUUUGUCUCAUAAUCAGGCCAUCAAAUUCAAACAUCAUGCGUUCCAAUUGGUAAUUAAGCCACUCAAGAUACAACUGACUCCCUUGUUCGGCUGUCUACUGACGUAGCCAGGCAUCGUCUCUUCCCCAUUGAGCACGCUUAUGUCUCAUUGACGGCUUUUCCAAAUGAGCAUAGGUUCAGAAUCUACUGCAACCCGCUACCCUAAUACAUGGUUUAACCCCAAAAAGGGAUUUUAGUAAUGUCCGACAUAAUUGCUCGAGACGGGUUCUCUUUAAUCAACACGCGACCAAUCAAUUUCGGUCCAGGACACUAUGCAUUGCCACUCAAAUGCUCAAUUAAGAUAGUGAUCCUAGCCUAUUUUCUUCGUAUUAAAAAUACACGGUAAAUUAGUCGUGUGUGGGUACACGGUCAGAUUACACCUAGAAAAUUCAUAACCUCCAAUUUAAAAUCCCACUAUUUUAUAUAGUAUAUAAAACUGGUUUCGGUGUUAAAAUCCGACACCUAGGAUUCUCUGAAUAGAUAUCAAAAUUCACAAAUUUUGAAAUUAAAUACUAAUUCCCAAAUUAGCACUCAAUUUGCAUAAUUUAACACUCAAUUGUAGAAAUUGAACACAUCAUUGCAAUCAGCACAAAAUUCCAGUGGCCGGCUAUCCCGGUCUAAUUUCCGGAAAAUAAUUAAUAAUUAAAUAAAUUAUCGGAAAUUAAAUAAAUUACAAAAUAAAAAUUUAAAGCAUUUAAUUAAAUUAACCUAAACUAACUAAGCUAUAUAAUCUACUAGCAAUUAAAUCUAACCAUUCUAUUAAACUUAAUCUAAGGACACUAAUUAAAUAAACUAACUAAUUCCUAACUAAUCCACCUAACUAAACUAAUUAAACUAACUAAAUACUAACUGUAUACUUAAUCUAACUAAGCUAUCCUAAGCCUAAUUAACCUAAUUAAUCCAUCAAUUAGCAAACUAACACACCUCUAAGUGUCAUUAGCCCACUAAUUAAGGAUUAGAACGCAACUCAAUGGUUAGCACGAAAAUCGGCUCACGGCGACAGCGGCGCAACGGCGGCCGAGACUCGGGCUCACGGCGAGGCCGAGGGAAGCUUGGGCCGGUUGAAAUCGACCACAAGCUCGCUGCUGGCUGCAAACUCUCGGACGUGAAAGCGCUGGAUGCGUGGGCU
rnacentral:lncRNA from 1 species